rnacentral:lncRNA from 1 species
AGACUCUCAGAUCAAAUUUUAUCAAACUGAAAUAUGCUUCCCAAGAGGGAUUGUACCUUCAAUACUUUAAAAUAAAUAAAAUUUACAAAAUUUAAAAUAUAUUAAAUUUAAAUUUUGUAGAAUUUAUUUAUUUUAAAGUCAUAAAAUGCACUGAGGUGCAAUCCCUCCAGAAAAACAAACUUCAGUUUGUAAAACACAUUAGUAAAGAUUCAGCAAUUCAAAGACCACCAGAGCAUAAACUUCGUAACA